AAAAAAGGUAAGCUACUAAGAGCGAAUGGUGGAUGCCUUGACUGGUAAAGGCGAUGAAGGACGUACUAGACUGCGAUAAGCUACGGGGAGCUGUCAAGAAGCUUUGAUCCGUAGAUUUCCGAAUGGGGCAACCCAAUGUAUAGAGAUAUACAUUACCUAUAUAGGAGCGAACGAGGGGAAUUGAAACAUCUUAGUACCCUCAGGAAAAGAAAUCAAUAGAGAUUGCGUCAGUAGCGGCGAGCGAAAGCGCAAGAGGGCAAACCCAGUGCUUGCACUGGGGGUUGUAGGACUGCAAUGUGCAAGAGGUAAGUUUAGCAGAACAUUCUGGAAAGUAUAACCAUAGAGGGUGAUAGUCCCGUAUGCGAAAAACAAACCUUAGCUAGCAGUAUCCUGAGUAGGGCGGGACACGAGGAAUCCUGUCUGAAUCCGGGUCGACCACGAUCCAACCCUAAAUACUAAUACCAGAUCGAUAGUGCACAAGUACCGUGAGGGAAAGGUGAAAAGAACUGAGGUGAUCAGAGUGAAAUAGAACCUGAAACCAUUUGCUUACAAUCAUUCAGAGCCCUAUGUAGCAAUACAGGGUGAUGGACUGCCUUUUGCAUAAUGAGCCUGCGAGUUGUGGUGUCUGGCAAGGUUAAGCAAACGCGAAGCCGUAGCGAAAGCGAGUCUGAAUAGGGCGCUUAGUCAGAUGCUGCAGACCCGAAACGAAGUGAUCUAUCCAUGAGCAAGUUGAAGCUAGUGUAAGAACUAGUGGAGGACUGAACCCAUAGGCGUUGAAAAGCCCCGGGAUGACUUGUGGAUAGGGGUGAAAGGCCAAUCAAACUUCGUGAUAGCUGGUUCUCUCCGAAAUAUAUUUAGGUAUAGCGUUGUGUCGUAAUAUAAGGGGGUAGAGCACUGAAUGGGCUAGGGCAUACACCAAUGUACCAAACCCUAUCAAACUCCGAAUACCUUAUAUGUAAUCACAGCAGUCAGGCGGCGAGUGAUAAAAUCCGUCGUCAAGAGGGAAACAACCCAGACUAUCAGCUAAGGUCCCCAAGUCUUACUUAAGUGGAAAACGAUGUGAAGUUACUUAAACAACCAGGAGGUUGGCUUAGAAGCAGCCAUCCUUUAAAGAAAGCGUAAUAGCUCACUGGUCUAGUGAUUUUGCGCGGAAAAUAUAACGGGGCUAAAGUAAGCACCGAAGCUAUAGACUUAGUUUUACUAAGUGGUAGGAGAGCGUUCUAUUUGCGCCGAAGGUAUACCGGUAAGGAGUGCUGGAGCGAAUAGAAGUGAGCAUGCAGGCAUGAGUAGCGAUAAUUAAUGUGAGAAUCAUUAACGCCGUAAACCCAAGGUUUCCUACGCGAUGCUCGUCAUCGUAGGGUUAGUCGGGUCCUAAGUCGAGUCCGAAAGGGGUAGACGAUGGCAAAUUGGUUAAUAUUCCAAUACCAACAUUAGUGUGCGAUGGAAGGACGCUUAGGGCUAAGGGGGCUAGCGGAUGGAAGUGCUAGUCUAAGGUCGUAGGAGGUUAUACAGGCAAAUCCGUAUAACAAUACUCCGAGAACUGAAAGGCUUUUUGAAGUCUUCGGAUGGAUAGAAGAACCCCUGAUGCCGUCGAGCCAAGAAAAGUUUCUAAGUUUAGCUAAUGUUGCCCGUACCGUAAACCGACACAGGUGGGUGGGAUGAGUAUUCUAAGGCGCGUGGAAGAACUCUCUUUAAGGAACUCUGCAAAAUAGCACCGUAUCUUCGGUAUAAGGUGUGGUUAGCUUUGUAUUAGGAUUUACUCCGAAAGCAAGGAAACUUACAACAAAGAGUCCCUCCCGACUGUUUACCAAAAACACAGCACUCUGCUAACUCGUAAGAGGAUGUAUAGGGUGUGACGCCUGCCCGGUGCUCGAAGGUUAAUUGAUGGGGUUAGCAUUAGCGAAGCUCUUGAUCGAAGCCCGAGUAAACGGCGGCCGUAACUAUAACGGUCCUAAGGUAGCGAAAUUCCUUGUCGGUUAAAUACCGACCUGCAUGAAUGGCGUAACGAGAUGGGAGCUGUCUCAAAGAGGGAUCCAGUGAAAUUGUAGUGGAGGUGAAAAUUCCUCCUACCCGCGGCAAGACGGAAAGACCCCGUGGACCUUUACUACAGCUUGACACUGCUACUUGGAUAAGAAUGUGCAGGAUAGGUGGGAGGCUUUGAGUAUAUGACGCCAGUUGUAUAUGAGCCAUUGUUGAGAUACCACUCUUUCUUAUUUGGGUAGCUAACCAGCUUGAGUUAUCCUCAAGUGGGACAAUGUCUGGUGGGUAGUUUGACUGGGGCGGUCGCCUCCCAAAUAAUAACGGAGGCUUACAAAGGUUGGCUCAGAACGGUUGGAAAUCGUUCGUAGAGUAUAAAGGUAUAAGCCAGCUUAACUGCAAGACAUACAAGUCAAGCAGAGACGAAAGUCGGUCUUAGUGAUCCGGUGGUUCUGUGUGGAAGGGCCAUCGCUCAAAGGAUAAAAGGUACCCCGGGGAUAACAGGCUGAUCUCCCCCAAGAGCUCACAUCGACGGGGAGGUUUGGCACCUCGAUGUCGGCUCAUCGCAUCCUGGGGCUGGAGCAGGUCCCAAGGGUAUGGCUGUUCGCCAUUUAAAGCGGUACGCGAGCUGGGUUCAGAACGUCGUGAGACAGUUCGGUCCCUAUCUGCCGUGGGCGUAAGAAGAUUGAAGAGAUUUGACCCUAGUACGAGAGGACCGGGUUGAACAAACCACUGGUGUAGCUGUUGUUCUGCCAAGAGCAUCGCAGCGUAGCUAAGUUUGGAAAGGAUAAACGCUGAAAGCAUCUAAGCGUGAAGCCAACUCUAAGAUGAAUCUUCUCUAAGCUCUCUAGAAGACUACUAGUUUGAUAGGCUGGGUGUGUAAUGGAUGAAAGUCCUUUAGCUGACCAGUACUAAUAGAGCGUUUGGCUUAUCUUUAAUAAAGCAU
rnacentral:rRNA from 1 species